GACGAACGCUGGCGGCGUGCUUAACACAUGCAAGUCGAGCGGUAAGGCCCUUUCGGGGGUACACGAGCGGCGAACGGGUGAGUAACACGUGGGUGACCUGCCUUUAGCUCUGGGAGUAAGCCUGGGAAACGUAGGGGUCUAAAUACCGGGAUACGACUCCGCGGUGCAUGCUGUGGGGUGGGAAAGCCUUGUGCGGCUGGAGAUGGGCCCGCGGCCUAUCAGCUUGUUGGUGGGGUGA
rnacentral:rRNA from 1 species